GUCCUAGAGAGGACAUCUGAUAAAAUUGGAACAAUACAGAGAAUAUUAACAUGGUUUCUACACAAAGUUGACAUGCAUAAAUGGAGAAAUGAACCAAAUUUAU